GAUGAACGCUGGCGGCGUGCCUAACACAUGCAAGUCGAGCGAAGCACUUACUUUAGAUUUCUUCGGAAUGACGAGGUUUGUGACUGAGCGGCGGACGGGUGAGUAACGCGUGGGCAACCUGCCCUGUACAGGGGGAUAACAGUUAGAAAUGACUGCUAAUACCGCAUAAGCCCACAGCUUCGCAUGAAGCAGUGGGAAAAACUCCGGUGGUACAGGAUGGGCCCGCGUCUGAUUAGCUAGUUGGUAAGGUAACGGCUUACCAAGGCGACGAUCAGUAGCCGACCUGAGAGGGUGACCGGCCACAUUGGGACUGAGACACGGCCCAAACUCCUACGGGAGGCAGCAGUGGGGAAUAUUGCACAAUGGGGGAAACCCUGAUGCAGCGACGCCGCGUGAGCGAUGAAGUAUUUCGGUAUGUAAAGCUCUAUCAGCAGGGAAGAAAGUGACGGUACCUGACUAAGAAGCCCCGGCUAACUACGUGCCAGCAGCCGCGGUAAUACGUAGGGGGCAAGCGUUAUCCGGAUUUACUGGGUGUAAAGGGAGCGUAGACGGAAGUGCAAGUCUGAAGUGAAAGCCCGGGGCUCAACCCCGGGACUGCUUUGGAAACUGUAUUUCUAGAGUGCUGGAGAGGUAAGUGGAAUUCCUAGUGUAGCGGUGAAAUGCGUAGAUAUUAGGAGGAACACCAGUGGCGAAGGCGGCUUACUGGACAGUGACUGACGUUGAGGCUCGAAAGCGUGGGGAGCAAACAGGAUUAGAUACCCUGGUAGUCCACGCCGUAAACGAUG
rnacentral:rRNA from 1 species